GUUUAAUAUGUUUUAUCUUAUCAUUACAGGCAAAGCAUGAAGCCAAAGGAAAUGUUUUUACCAAGGCAUGUUCCUCAAUAGCGGAGAGAGUUUUAUCCAGUGUCGGUUCUGCAGAAGAACCCAUUCAUAGCAGACCACCCAUUGCAGCACUUGUAAGGUCGCUAUAAAGAACCCGACAGACUCUGCGACCAAAAGAUCCCACUGACGUGUCGUCAGGCCUUGACGAAGAUUUCACGAUCAUAGUGCACCGGGAUUUUAUCAAUAAAGAGUAAAAGUUGGGGAAAGGCGCCAUCACAUUUUUUGUACUGAUAGACAGAUGCAACUACCCGCACGCGCAAAAACUUGGUAUAUGGAUGCAACUUUUCGGGUGGUGAACAAGCCAUGGUCUCAGCUGUUUUCCAUACACGCCUUCAUUAAGACUGGAGAGACCACCCGACAGUUACCAUUGGUGUUUUGUGUAAUGUCGGGUAAAAGCCAAGACGACUAUUAUAAGUUUCCAUAUUAGAUGCCAUAGCAAAUCAAAGAUCAUAUAAUAAAAUAAGUCAAAAAACCCAAAUAUGGGAAAAGAAAGAGCUGAAGAAAUGGUGAUUUGAGCACCUAUGAUUUCUCAUAGGUGUUUUUGGGGGUUAACUACAUCAGAAAGAUCAAGACAGUUGGAAAUGGCUAUUCAUAUUAUGGAAACUUUUUCUCACAGAGCUUGAUAAUCAGGU